UACAGAGGGUGCAAGCGUUAAUCGGAAUUACUGGGCGUAAAGCGUGCGUAGACGGUUAUGUAAGUCAGAUGUGAAAGCCCCGGGCUCAACCUGGGAAUUGCAUUUGAGACUGCAUAGCUAGGGUGCGGAAGAGGGAAGCGGAAUUUCCGGUGUAGCGGUGAAAUGCGUAGAUAUCGGAAGGAACACCGGUGGCGAAGGCGGCGAGCUGGUCCAUUACUGACGCUGAGGCGCGACAGCGUGGGGAGCAAACAGG
rnacentral:rRNA from 1 species